rnacentral:rRNA from 1 species
GUAGGGAAUAUUGGGCAAUGGGCGAAAGCCUGACCCAGCAACGCCGCGUGCACGAUGAAGGUCUUCGGAUCGUAAAGUGCUUUUCUGGGAGAUGAGAAAGGACAGUAUCCCAGGAAUAAGCCUCGGCUAACUACGUGCCAGCAGCCGCGGUAAAACGUAGGAGGCGAGCGUUAUCCGGAUUUACUGGGCGUAAAGCGCGUGCAGGCGGUUCGGCAAGUUGGAUGUGAAAUCUCCCGGCUCAACUGGGAGAGGUCGUUCAAUACUACCGGACUUGAGGACAGUAGAGGAAGGUGGAAUUCCCGGUGUAGUGGUGAAAUGCGUAGAUAUCGGGAGGAACACCAGUGGCGAAAGCGGCCUUCUGGACUGUUCCUGACGCUCAGACGCGAAAGCUAGGGGAGCGAACGGGAUUAGAAACCCUAGUAGUCC